rnacentral:lncRNA from 1 species
AGAGAAGAAAAAUGAGAUAUACUUCCAUUAAGGAAGUACGCGUCAAAGCAUAGUACCAUAGAACAAUCACAUAUAUCAAUCGGAGAUUUACAUCUUUCAUAAUUGACAAUUUUUUAUAUUUCUAUCUUUUUAUUUUCAUGUUGGUUUUAAUCUAAAAUUUCUUCAUUAGACCAUUUUAUUAGUUUGUGUCUUUAUUGAACCAGACUCACUGCGGGUCCGUUUAAAAAUGAAGAAUACUUCUAGAAUGACAUUAAUGAAUCUGUAAUAUCCCAUAUACUCUUAAAUGCUUAAUUGCUUGUCAUUUGAAACCAACUAUAUUCCUAUGUGCUCUAUCUCUUGUCA